rnacentral:rRNA from 1 species
GAUGAACGCUGGCGGCGUGCCUAAUACAUGCAAGUCGAGCGAACAGACGAGGAGCUUGCUCCUCUGACGUUAGCGGCGGACGGGUGAGUAACACGUGGAUAACCUACCUAUAAGACUGGGAUAACUUCGGGAAACCGGAGCUAAUACCGGAUAAUAUAUUGAACCGCAUGGUUCAAUAGUGAAAGACGGUUUUGCUGUCACUUAUAGAUGGAUCCGCGCCGCAUUAGCUAGUUGGUAAGGUAACGGCUUACCAAGGCAACGAUGCGUAGCCGACCUGAGAGGGUGAUCGGCCACACUGGAACUGAGACACGGUCCAGACUCCUACGGGAGGCAGCAGUAGGGAAUCUUCCGCAAUGGGCGAAAGCCUGACGGAGCAACACCGCGUGAGUGAUGAAGGUCUUCGGAUCGUAAAGCUCUGUUAUUAGGGAAGAACAAAUGUGUAAGUAACUAUGCACGUCUUGACGGUACCUAAUCAGAAAGCCACGGCUAACUACGUG